rnacentral:rRNA from 1 species
UGACACGUAGGCACCAAGCGUUGUCCGGAUUUAUUGGGCGUAAAGAGCUCGUAGGCGGUUCGGUAAGUCGGGUGUGAAAACUCUGGGCUCAACCCAGAGCCGCCACUCGAUACUGCUGUGACUCGAGUGCGGUAGGGGAGCGGGGAAUUCCUGGUGUAGCGGUGAAAUGCGCAGAUAUCAGGAGGAACACCAGUGGCGAAGGCGCCGCUCUGGGCCGUGACUGACGCUGAGGAGCGAAAGCGUGGGUAGCAAACAGGAUUAGAUACCCUGGUAGUCCACGCCGUAAACGUUGGGCACUAGGUGUGGGUCUCAACCAACGAGAUCCGCGCCGUCGCUAACGCAUUAAGUGCCCCGCCUGGGGAGUACGGCCGCAAGGCUA